ACGGGUGAGUAACGCGUGGGAAUCUACCGUGCCCUGCGGAAUAGCUCCGGGAAACUGGAAUUAAUACCGCAUACGCCCUACGGGGGAAAGAUUUAUCGGGGUAUGAUGAGCCCGCGUUGGAUUAGCUAGUUGGUGGGGUAAAGGCCUACCAAGGCGACGAUCCAUAGCUGGUCUGAGAGGAUGAUCAGCCACAUUGGGACUGAGACACGGCCCAAACUCCUACGGGAGGCAGCAGUGGGGAAUAUUGGACAAUGGGCGCAAGCCUGAUCCAGCCAUGCCGCGUGAGUGAUGAAGGCCUUAGGGUUGUAAAGCUCUUUCACCGGAGAGGAUAAUGACGGUAUCCGGAGAAGAAGCCCCGGCUAACUUCGUGCCAGCAGCCGCGGUAAUACGAAGGGGGCUAGCGUUGUUCGGAAUUACUGGGCGUAAAGCGCACGUAGGCGGAUAUUUAAGUCAGGGGUGAAAUCCCAGAGCUCAACUCUGGAACUGCCUUUGAUACUGGGUAUCUUGAGUAUGGAAGAGGUAAGUGGAAUUCCGAGUGUAGAGGUGAAAUUCGUAGA
rnacentral:rRNA from 1 species